AGCUCUGGGUGCCAGCUGCAGGGGCUUCCCGCUGUGCUGAGGUCGCUUCUAGACUUCGGAAGUGGUAGUUUGAGUACACCUUUUAAGGUGGGGUGUGAGAAGUCGCUAUGUCCUAAACUUGCGACAGGAAGGCGUCUGUUGGGCCUUUGUAUCCGUCUUGAGGUGGUAAAUUUUCUAGUGCUGGGGUCGGUCUCGCAGUUAUCGCAGGUGUGGAUGGCAGGGAAAGUGCCCAGGCCCGCGUUGUGCAAAAGCUGAACCUGCUGUGGUUUCGCGACCUGCUCCGCCAGUUAAGACCGAGUGUCACCUGGACUUUCUCUGGUGGUGCCUUCUGGAACCAGAUCCGCCCCGUCUCCCGGACGAUCAUGGGCCCGAGAAGCUGUAACCGGACUGAGAGCUUCUGGAAGAGGGGACGAAGUGGCUACAAGUCAUUCACGUGGGAAUCCUGUGACACCCGGGAGAGGGGCGGAUCCGGAAGCAGUCGCCCCCAGGUCCCCUGGCAGCUAGCCUGACACAGGUUAGGAGGAAGUGGCCGGGAAACGCCCAGGGAGGCAGUCUGCAGCCCAAUCUGCAGCUUCCCAGAAGGUGGAAGCAACGACCCAGUCAUCAUUAGCCCGGCAGAAUUCUGGAUCCCGGUGUCACUCUGCGCAGGGUCUCCUCACUCUUCAGAUCCAAGAAAACAAAACCACCACAGGCCGCCAGAUAACCGGAUGGAGCAGCACCAUCCGCCGGCCCCACCCCCGCCCCCCAUCAGCUCGAUCGCGCAUGCGCAUCGUGGCGGCCUUAGCGCGAGGCCGGGGGCGGGGCGGAGGAGAGAGAAGGAAGGGCAGCGGUUGGGCGAGAAGGAGGCCACGCCCAUUGCACCAACGUUUCUGCGCAUACUCCGUACGUCAGCUUCUGGUAGUUUCGAUGCGUCAGCCGACGCCCUGCUCAUUUCGCGUCCGGACGUCGGAGGUGUCGCUUGUGGUUUUGCUGCUGGAGAGCAGCUGCGAAAAGCCUCUCUUCGUCCUUUGCUGUGAAAGGAAGGCGUCCGUUGGGCCUUUCUCUCCGUCCUAAGUGAGGAGUCGGCGACCUGUGGAACAGUGUGUUCCGGAAGCAUCCUCAGAAACAAGGAAGCUUCACACCUCGGGCCUAGAUGUCUAACUACGUGAACGACAUGUGGCCGGGUUCACCGCAGGAGGCCCGGUCGACGUCUGGCCGGUCCAGUCGGCUGUCCUCGGUGACCCGGAGCCACUCGAGAAGCUCGCGGUCCAGCUCCAGCGUCUCCAGCCAGUGGUCGUCCAGGAGUCGGAGCCGGCCCCGGCGCAGGUCCAGGUCUCGUUCCCGAAGGCGCCACCAGAGGAAGUACCGGCGCUACUCGCGGUCGUACUCGCGGAGCCGGUCGCGAUCCCGCAGCCGCCGCGGGUACUGGGAGAGGCACUCCGCUUCCUCCAGGAGACACUACCGGUCUCCCUCGCCAGGCCGAUCCCGCAGCCGGUCCCGCUCUCGGGGACGGUCAUCGUACCGAAGCGCCUAUGCGAUAACGCGGGGGCGACGCUACUACGGCUUUGGUCGCACGGUGUACCCGGAGGAGCACGGGAGUUGGCGGGGGAGAUCCAGGACGAGGUCGCGGAGCCCAACGCCGUUUCGCUUAAGUGAAAAAGAUCGAAUGGAGCUGUUAGAAAUAGCAAAAGCCAAUGCAGCAAAAGCCUUAGGAACAACCAACUUGGAAUUGCCGCCUAGUCUCAGAAGUGUUUUCCUAUCUAAAGAAACAAACCGUGGAACAGCUGUAACAAAUAAUGGUGCAAAGUUUGAGGUAAGUAUUCAAGGAUUAUCCAGACAGAAUCUUAGGAAGCUACUGCCAGAAAGAUCUGAUUAGCCAUUUUUAUUUGAUUUACCUUAGACUACUACUUAGAAAGGCUAGCCAAAUGUGAUUUUUUAAAACCAAUAUAUCAGAUCUGAUGGUACUAGAUAUGGUCUCUCCCAUAAAAAUGGGAGAUUAAUGAAAUUGAUUUUCGGUUGACGCAGUAUUAAUUACUUUCAUGAUUAUAGCUGGUAUUUGGCCAUUUUUGUGUAGUUAUCAAAAUUUCCUAACUAUACAGAGUAUCUACCUGUAACAUUCGCAGCAUUUUAUUCCCUCAAAUUCUGUACUCAACAUACAGUAUAGUUUAUCUGCUUUAUUUCUGUCUUAUAGAAAUCAUGAAUGUGGUCUCCAGACAUUGAUCUCCAGAAAAUCUGUUGAUGUUUUGAGAGAUUACAGAAGAAGAGGCCUGCUUCACUUGCAGAUAAGUUUAUCGUAAUUCUCCAGAAAUGUGCCGGAUGUGCACUGGCAAAUUGCACUGUGCUUUUAAAGUUAUGUGAACCCAAAGCAUAAAAUCCAUAGCUUUAAAGGUUUAAGGUGGUUAGGAAUUGGUAGAAUCAGUUAAAACAGGGAAGAUGUCUAGAUGAACUUAUUAUUCAGACCCAGAUGUGGGUAUGCUUAUGUAUUAGUAGUAGACAAAUAAGAUCUUAGUUCAGGUUUUUUUCAGAUGAUUAGGUGCCCGAUUGGCAAAUGCCUUAGUUCUUUGAAACUAGGUAUUAUCUAGUAUGACUUUAUUGUCAGUUACUUUAACUGUAUUGGGGAAUAGAAGACUCCUUUAUGGGGAAGAGUGUCUUAAUCAGGCCUAUUAUGCCAAUUUUGUGCUCAACAGAGUACAAUGUUUAGACAGUUGACUAUAUGGUUAGCUCCAACUUGAUUUGUGUCUGUACAACCAAAUAUAUAAUUGGGCUGCUUUGUAUACAUACAGUACUGUAAACCAAAGGUAUGACUUUUAAAAAAACAAAUUUUCUCUUAACCUGUCUAGCUGUUGGAAAA